rnacentral:lncRNA from 1 species
UAGUGGGCCGCCCACGGUCAAGGAAAUUAAUUAUGGAGAGUGGUGGGGUAGACUCGUGGCUGUUGUCAUAGUCUGCCACGUAUGGCCUGUUGCGGAUAGUGGGGCGGCGUCCGUUGCCGCUAGCUGUCAGUGAGUAGGGGGAUCGUGCAGCACCUGCCGCAGGGAGUGGGACAGAAUCGUGGCCGUUUUCUACAGCCUGUCAGGGAGUAAUGGGUCCGUUGCUGGAGCCGCGUAGAAUCCGCUGUAGGACCUGGAACAGGAUCAUGAUUGUCGUCGCGAUCUGCCGAGGGGGUGCGGAUCUGUCAAUUGAGGUUCGGCCGCGGUUGGAGUCCGGCCUCCGUAGGAGCCCGGGCGGAACCGCUCUGAUGUCGAAGGCGGAGCCCGGCUCCCGUAGUAGUCCGGGCGGAGCCGCUCUGAUGUCGAAGGUGGAGCCCGGC